rnacentral:lncRNA from 1 species
AUGACCUCAUUGCUUAUCCAUCCUAAAUAUAAUAGUUUGUAUCUACCGAGCCCAAACUCCCAGUCCAUCCUGCUCCCUCCCUCUCACCCCUUAGCCACCACAAGCUUUCAUGUCUUUUGUAUUUUAGAGAAUCAGUGGAUUGAAAUCACAACCUCAGAUGGCUACCAUGAGGCUAACCUCAGUUUAAAGGACUUCAGAUUUCCAUACUGAAUAUCUGGGAGGUUCCUAGUCAACAAGAGUCCACUUUCUGGGUGUGGAUGGAAUAAGAACACAGGGUGAUGGAUGGUGUCAAGGAUAUUUCACAACAGCCACUCAAGAGGCUUGUGAACUGACCCAGCCUCUUACUGGAGAUGCCAUUUCUGGACCAGUGUGCUAAUGUUUCCCGGAUCCAGUGACCCUCCUCCUGCACUUGGCUGGUGAGUCAUUGUCAUGUCCGUUCUGCUCUCCUCCCCUUUACCAUGUUCCAUUCAGACACCUCUCUCUGCUCUAGCAGUCUUUCCCCAGCUAGGACUCAAUGCAGUAUUUUAAGUUUCUUCAGUCUUCUGUGUGAUGACAUUACAGAUCUGUUUUUUGCUAUGUUGGUGUGAUUAUACUGGCCCACCUUCCCGAGGGUAAGAAGUGUCUACAGGAGUUUCCGUCGUGGCUCAGCAGUAACAAACCCAACUAGUAUCCGUGAGGAUGUGGGUUUGAUCCCUGGUCUCGUUCAGUGGGUUAAGGAUCUGGUGUUCCUGUGAGCUGUGGUAUAGAUCGCAGACAUGGCUAGGAUCUGGUAUUGCUAUGGUUAUGUUAUAGGCUGGCAGGUGCAGCUCCAAAUCACCCCUAGCCUGGGAACUUACAUAUGCUGCAGGUGUGGCCCUAAAAAGACAAAAAAAUAAGUGACUAGAGGUGGCCAAUAUGCUCAGGACUCCUCAAAGGCCCUCUUCUAGACUCUGGAGAUAUCUGCCACUCCUGAGGCCAAGCUAGAACCCUCACCGACUGGAACCUCAUAAACUUCCUAUUCCCUUAAUAAAAAUGGAACAAACAACA